AUUCAUAUCGCUCGUGAGGCUGAAGAAGGGAACUGAACCAAGGACAGCAAUCCACAAUUUAACACUCUCUUACUAGAUCAGGAGGGGCCUCUUUGGGAGACAUAUGCCAGGAGCUUGUUUGCAAGUUAAACAGAUUCUAAUGCCCAGGGCUGGGUGUAAGGACUGCUAAGAACACAGUCACUAAGCUGCCAGCUUUGGGUCGCCUUUGGUGAUCUAGAUGGACACCCCUGACUCUCUAAAACCCCUGAGAUUCCAGACAGUGAGGAGGCUUCAUGUAUUUAUCCAUUCCCAUCACAACAACAGCCAAUUGACUGUAGAGUUACAGGCUCAAGGAAUGACACAGGCAGAACUAAUCAUAAUUUGGGGCCUGAAGAUAGGUUAAACUACCUCUGGGGGGCUCCACACUUUAUCAUUUCUUGCCUUAUCCUCCCAAGUAAAAAUUAAGAAAUAUAUUCCAAAAACCAGAAAAGUCAAUUGAAAAUUAGGUUUUAUGGGAAACUGAAUAAGUCAGAAAUUUGGUCAACAUCCAGAAUAAUUUCUGGAAUAUAAGGGAGAAAAGGGUUUUGAAAAUAAAGAAAAUGGAUAGAUUUAUCCUUUUUUUCAAAAUGGCAUGUUUUUUCUUUUAAACUGA